CCAGACUCCUACGGGAGGCAGCAGUGAGGAAUAUUGGUCAAUGGCCGAGAGGCUGAACCAGCCAAGUCGCGUGAGGGAUGACGGCCCUACGGGUUGUAAACCUCUUUUGUCGGGGAGCAAAGAGAGUCACGUGUGGCUCAUUGAGAGUACCCGAAGAAAAAGCAUCGGCUAACUCCGUGCCAGCAGCCGCGGUAAUACGGAGGAUGCGAGCGUUAUCCGGAUUUAUUGGGUUUAAAGGGUGCGUAGGCGGGAUGCCAAGUCAGCGGUAAAAAUGCGGUGCUCAACGCCGUCGAGCCGUUGAAACUGGCGUUCUUGAGUGGGCGAGAAGUAUGCGGAAUGCGUGGUGUAGCGGUGAAAUGCAUAGAUAUCACGCAGAACUCCGAUUGCGAAGGCAGCAUACCGGCGCCCUACUGACGCUGAGGCACGAAAGCGUGGGUAUCGAACAGGAUUAGAUACCCUUGUA
rnacentral:rRNA from 1 species